rnacentral:tRNA from 1 species
UAGCUCAGUGGUUGAGUGUGUGUUUUGCAUGCAUGAGGUCCUGGGUUCAAUCCCCAG